GGGUGCGAUCAUACCAGCAAUAAUGCAUCGGAUCCCAUCAGAACUUCGAAGUUAAGCUCGCUUGGGCGAGAGCAAUACUAGGAUGGCUGACCUCCUAGGAAGUCCUCAUGUUGCACCCUUC
rnacentral:rRNA from 1 species